CAGCGAUUCGAACUCCGCCCACUGCACCUGAUUGGUUGACAAGUGGGCGGAGCGAAUCGAUGAU
ensembl:miRNA mir-1832.1 ncRNA